CUUAUUCACGGCAACGUAUAGGAACCAGAACAGGGAACCAGUCUAGAAGGCAAAGAAAAUUCCGCCAAAUAAACAACAAAGAAAGGGAUUUGGGAUGUUGUCAGUUGUAUGUAUACAUUAUGUGCGACGGUGACUGCAAGAAAAAAGGAAUGUGGAGCUAAUGCAUGCUGCUAAGGAUGGAAAGGUCUUGUGUUAUUGGUUGUGCCUGAGACACCAGUCACAGGUGUACCUUAUUUCCAUUUUAGGGAGUCUAUAUACAUAUGAGGUGAGCGGCAGAUUUAAUUUUGAAGAUGGGUGACUUUCAGAUGUUGUGAUGAAGAUUGUUGAAAGGGAUUAUCAACGUAGAACCAAUCCAUAUGAAUGUGCAAGUCAGAAAAAAGGAAUAUGGAGCUAAUGCAUGCUGCUAAGGAUGGCAAGGUCUUGUGUUUAUUGGUUGUGCCUGAGACACCAGUCACAGGUGUACCUUAUUUCCAUUUUAGGGAGUCUAUAUACAUAUGAGGUGAGCGGCAGAUUUAAUUUUGAAGAUGGGUGACUUUCAGAUGUUGUGAUGAAGAUUGUUGAAAGGGAUUAUCAGCGUAGAACCAAUCCAUAUGAAUGUGCAAGUUAGGACUUGUACAACACCUGAGUACCUAGAUGACUGUUGAACUAAUUGGUGAAGAAAAGAUGUCAGAGAGGGGAAUCCAAUACAGAUGCCAUGAUCAAGAAUAUAUACUCUUAACAAUGAUAUGAUCAAGAAUAUGUAAACUUGUAACGAUUUAAAAUAUCUUAUCUGUAAAUCACUCUUCAUUAUUUAAUUGUUCACACAUUAUCAUCUACACUUAUGCUAUAAAUCUUAUCUGUAUAUUAAUCACCCCCUCUUAUCUAACUCCCCUGCUGUCUGAUCGUAAUGACCUGUGUAUUGACUCCUGAUUUUAAAGAUCUUGUAAUGUGCUCCUGAUUGUCAGGAAUGGAUCUUGAGUAUAUAUAUAGUGCAACAGAAUUUUAGAAUAAGAUAGGAAGAUGGAAAUAUAGAAGACUUAGUAGAUAGAACUCUAGUUAGAGAUAGAUAAAGUUACUCACUUACUUGGACUAUUACAUAAUAUUUCUUGGAUUUAUAUGUACAUGUGAUUGUUUUACUUGAAUUUAUUUUUUGUGAAUUAUUUUUCCUGAAUGUUUCUAUUUAUGAUGUGCUGUGUAAGUAAACUGUAGACUAGAAUUUCGGCAUCUAUUUUCAAGAUAUGAGGAACAAGGAUAAAUUAAUUUAUUCAUGCAAACUGACAUUAUGAAAUGUGUUGUAAGACAGCUCGGUGCGGCGCUACAAACUAACUAGGAAAUAUCUUGGAGAUUUAUAGAUGAACAUGCAAGCAUUCAUGAUUUUGAAUGUUAUUCAGCCAGAGAGUUUUUUGCACAAAUUUAAUUUUCAGUACAGUAAUUUAAACUGGAUGUGUAAUUUUCAGUACAGUUAUAUAAAAUGAAUAUGUUACUUAUUAUGAUUGUCAAUUUCUCAACAGAACAUAAUUGUAGUUUAUUUAUACGAUCAGUCUUGCAGAACAAAACACACAGAACUUUUUUUUUCUCUGUGUGCAUCAUACACUUGUAAAUGUUUUACACCACCAUGUUUACAUAUUUUACUUUGAUGACAUGUAAAUCGAGCACACACAUGAAAAUGCGUAUAUCUGGAUACAUGCAAACAUGCAUCUACCAUAACCUAUUAAAUAUUUUCCAAGGUGUGUGAAGUCGAGCACAUACAUGAAAGUGUGUGAAGCUGGACACAUACACAAAUACACAUGCAUCUGCCACAACCCUAUUACAUAUUUUCCAAGGCGUGUGAAGUCGAGCACAUACAUGAAAAUGUGUGAAGCUGGACACAUAUGCAAACACACUAACAUAUACAUACCACAGACAUAAAAACAUAAUCUAAACUAAGUCAAGCACAGACAGGCUCACUGGGUGAAGCUGGAUUCAUACAUGAUCUCAUGCAUUUUGCAAACUGCAUCCUCACAUAUAUUCUAAUAGAUUUUUCACCAUUUUUUGUGUUUGUGAAUAUGUAAAAUGCGUCAUUUUGCAUUACAAGUUGAAGAUGUUAUUAGCCUGUAUGUAAGCGCAAAUUAAAUAGCCUUUUAUGUAAUUUUUUCACAUUUUAAAUUCAAUUUAAACUGCAAAGUUUAUUUCAUAUAUGUACAUGCACCAUAAAGAAUAAAUAAUAUUGUACCGGUAUUAUAUUUUAAAGUGAAAUGGGACCUCCAUUUCAUAAGCAGAAAUGUGAAAUUUAUACUUAUCAUCUGUAUUUUUUUUUUAUUUUGUCUCACAUGUAUCUGAAUGUGUAAAGGAAAACAAAAGUCAAAGAUAGCUCAAUAUAAUGUUUAUAUUCAAGGUUAUAACUGGAUAUUGUUUGUGCUGUAAUCUGACUCAUCAUAUGAUGAGAAGCCAAAAUACAGAAUAUUUUAGAUCAUUUUUGCUUGGAAAAUGAAAAUUAUCAAUAUGCCAAUUUUUCCCAUUGUUAUAUUAUUAAUUAAUAUAUCAUUAAUAUCAAUGUACAUAUGAAAAAUCUACGCCAUCCAAUUCAGUGAGUUGUAGGCAAUCCUGGUGCAGAUAAUAUUUUUUUCCCGUGUUUCGUAGUAGAGCGGGAACACAUUGUAUUAGAGGAACGUAUAUUAAUGGGUUUUGAUGUAUAUGUGGGUGUUGCCAAAGGAAGGCCAAUGAGAAAUGAGUAUUCAGUAAGGUGUUCAAAUCAUUCUAAGCCAGUGCUCUUCAAUACACACACAUUUUUUGCUUUAUAUAUAAUAUAUAUCAUAUUUGUAUGAAUAUACUGGUAAUGGAAAUAACAAAACUGUAAUAAUAUACCUUUAAUUUUAAUUUGGAUUUUUACAUACAUGCAAAUAUUAUAGGGUGUUCGUGCAUUUUUAACUAUUGCACUGAAUGCACGUCCGGCAUUCUCUCUUGAGACAUUAUUUACAUAGCGACGGACACAGGUUUUCCAUAGUUAACCAUCUAUGGUUUUUGCCUGGGCGGUUUUUAAUGUCUGUGAUAGGGGUAUAAUUUAUUACAGGUAAAAUAUUUUACAAAUGCAUUCCAGUGCUUUAUUGUUUCACAUUCAAUGUAAUGUAUGUUAGAUUUGUAUCAAAAUAAACGCCAGCUGCUCCAAUUAAGCUAACCUGGCUUACAGCAUAGUUGUUGUAUUAUUUGAGGUGUAGUCUGUCAAAUAAUGAUGAGUCGAGUGUUUGAUUCUGUAGAUGACCAUUUCUAAUACUAAUUUCAACUGGAAAUGGAUACAAGAUAAUAAAAAAAUAUCUUUGACAUUUGUCUUAAAAUUCUGGGUCCUCACUAGAUUAGAUUCUUAACUAACUGUGAAAAUCCAAGGAUAAGUGUAUUAAACAAUAGUCAGCAUUUAAAUAAGACUUUUAUAAAAUAUGUAUAUUUAAUGAACUUUAAUAUGGCAUUAAAGGUGAAAGGUUAUAUUUAAUUAUCUUUUCCUGUAAGUAAAGGUUACCUUUUCACCUUUACUUUUUGUAAAGUUAAUACAAAGAUGACCUUGCUUUUUGGAGCACCUUUAAUGAAAUUUACUUUGCAAGUAAAGUUUUGUAAAGGUGUUUUUUCAAGC